UUGUGUGCAGUGAUGAUGCGUUUUAUUUGGACUAGAGUUUCUGAUUUCUUAGUUGAAGACUAACCCUUGGCUGUCUGAGCACACGA
rnacentral:snoRNA from 1 species